GUGGUAUAGAGCAAUGAGGUAGGGUACUGGCAACAGUGCUCUGCUGAAAUAUUUUCACCCAUGUCUUUUGCGCACUUUUUGUUUCCUGGGCGAGUUUGCUCGCCACCAGGACCCCCAUAUGAACCUUUUUUGUUUUUGCACUCAGCGUCAGUACAAUAAUUUAAUCUAUUAAAACUUUCAACAACGGAUCUCUUGGUUCUGGCAUCGAUGAAGAACGCAGCGAAAUGCGAUACGUAGUGUGAAUUGCAGAAUUCAGUGAAUCAUCGAAUCUUUGAACGCACAUUGCGCCCUUUGGUAUUCCAAAGGGCAUGCCUGUUCGAGCGUCAUUUGUACCCUCAAGCUUUGCUUGGUGUUGGGCGUCUUAUUGUCUCUCCGUCUCGGGGAGACUCGCCUUAAAACAAUUGGCAGCCGGCCUACUGGUUUCGGAGCGCAGCACAAAUUUGCGCUUGCAAUCAGCCAAGGGCGGCAUCCAUGAAGCCUUUUUUCUCUCACAUUUUGACCUCGGAUCAGGUAGGGAUACCCGCUGAACUUAAGCAUAUCAA
rnacentral:rRNA from 1 species